AGUGAACGCUGGCGGCAGGCCUAAUACAUGCAAGUCGAACGGCAGCACAGCAGAGCUUGCUCUGUGGGUGGCGAGUGGCGGACGGGUGAGGAAUACAUGGGAAUCUGCCCAGUCGUGGGGGAUAACGUAGGGAAACUUACGCUAAUACCGCAUGCGCCCUUCGGGGAAGCCGGGGACCUUCGGGCCUGGCGCGAUUGGAUGAGCCCAUGUCGGAUUAGCUAGUUGGCGGGGUAAUGGCCCACCAAGGCGACGAUCCGUAGCUGGUCUGAGAGGAUGAUCAGCCACACUGGAACUGAGACACGGUCCAGACUCCUACGGGAGGCAGCAGUAGGGAAUAUUGGACAAUGGGCGCAAGCCUGAUCCAGCCAUGCCGCGUGAGUGAAGAAGGCCCUCGGGUUGUAAAGCUCUUUUGUCCGGAAAGAAAGCGCCGGGUUAAUACCCUGGUGUCCUGACGGUACCGGAAGAAUAAGCACCGGCUAACUCGUGCCAGCAGCCGCGGUAA
rnacentral:rRNA from 1 species